AUAUAUAUAUAUAUAUAUAUAUAUAUAUAUAUAUAUAUAUAUAUAUAUUAUACACACACACACACACAAAUAUAUGAAAACUAUGCUCAUUAUUUUAUUAUGCAUUUUUAAUUCACACACACACACACACACACACACACACACACACACACACACACACACAAAUACAUGAAAAUUAUUCUCAUUAUUUUAUUAUGCAUUUUAAUUCUUAAUCUUCACCUGCAAUCAAUCAAUGAGUACAGAGGGAUCACACAGGAAUCAGAGUUUUAAAGUAAUCACUUUGAGAGCUACAAAAUAAUUUUUCACACACACACACACACACACACACACAAAUGUGUGUGUGUGUGUGUGUGUUUACCUUCAGUAGCCAGUAGCCAUGCUGCUUCAGGGCAUUAAUUGUUAGUGAUGUGAUUUCAGUCUUGAAUGGUGUAAUUUAGUUAUCAUAUUUUGUAAAUAUCUGACCUUAUUUUGAGCAUUUAUUCUUUAUGCAAUAUGAUUGAUUUCAUAUUCAGUAUGUAAUGUGAUUGAUUUCACAUUAAACAUUUAUUAGUUUGGCUAUAUUUUAAUCCUGUAUACCUUUAAAGGUGGAUGAAAGGGAUGUGUAUUGUACAGGGCAUGAGCCAAAGCUCAUUUUGUCCUGUCUCCACAACCACAUUUAUCCAGUUUCACAUUUAUCCAACCACAUUUAUCCAGUCUGACAUGCUAGUCCAGCUCCGCGUGGCCAGUGGCCACCUCUCCACCCAACAAGACAAAUGCGCAGCGACACGCGUGAUGAACCACAACUAACCAUCAUUGUACAUGUGGAUUAUAUAGUAUACCACCAAGAACAUGUAUAAAAAUUCAUAUACAAGUAAAUGAACAGAUAUUACAUACAAUAGAUACCAAAUAGCUACACAAUAAAGAUGCGCCGUUAAAAACAAAACAUAGGUAAUCACCUCUUCCGUUAACUAUCAUCACAGUGAUGAUACAAUCACUUCCUCUAUACGUUUUUUUUUUUUUUCUAGUUACAUACUUCUAAAUUUAUUGGUCUUCCAUGCAUUAGUUUUUGGUGGUAUGUAUGUCACAAUGAUUUAUUUAUUUUUUUUCAUUUUGAUUUUAAUCACAACACUUUCCGCCAUUCCAUCCCCAUAUUCCACUUCCUCAACAUCAAUAUCCUCUUUAGCCAAUAUCACCACUCCUAUACCCUUUCCUUUCCUGUCUCUUCUCCAUGUGCUAUAGCCUUCCUUUGCAAAUCUCAACUUUAUUUCCUCUUUUAAUGUGGUUUCUGUUAAACAUACCACAUGUGGUUUAUUGUUCUUUAAGUAGUCUUUUAAGUUUCAAUAGGCCCGACACCAAACCAUCUACAUUACUAUAAAAAAAAUAAUAAUAAUAAUAAAUAAAUAAAUAAAUAGUAUACAUAAUCUCUAAACUUCUGCUUGGUGAUUUUGCAUGGCAUCUUUGUGCCACUUUUUCCUCACUUUCAUGUCCGCAACCUUCCAGGUGAAUCUUCUGGCUUGUUCCUGUGUUCUCUCCCCAUUUUUGACUGGACCUCUGGGCCUCUAUUCCCAUUUUUUUUUUUUUUUCAUUUUACUUCUCUCUUCGUUCUUUAUCCAUAUUUCCUGCAUUCUUUCUAUUUUUGCCAAUUUUCCUGUUCUUUGCAAGACACAAACAUUGUUGUUUAUGACAUGAAUCUUAUUUUCAUUGGUCUUGUUCCGUUUUCUUCAUACUUUCCGAUCAUGUAAACCUCUUCAAUUUGUUCAAGUAUCCCCUCUCCUUCCUCCGCCACUUCUACUAUAAUUUCCUUACCCCUUUUCAUUUCUUUCUCUUUUUUUUUUUAUUUUCAUGGUUAGAUUCUUCUCCUCAACUCCAAAUACCACCACGCACAUCUUUCUCUGUGCUGUCUCACAAGUUUACUUUCCUUUAUUAUUUUUGAUAACUUUCUUUUCCAUAUCCUUAUUCUGCUCCUGUUGCUGUUGACUUAUUAACUCCUCCAUGUCCAUCUUUUGUUGUUGUUCUCUCUGUUCUUUCCAACUUUUGACUUCCUCUGUCACUAACUUUAAUUUCUCCAACCCUAACCUCUAUCUCUCUUUAAGUCUUCGUUCUCUUCCUUGAGUUUCUUAAUUUCUUCACAGUACUUCUUGUUUAAGUCCACUAUUUUUGUCACCUCUCCUCUCAGUUUUUUGUUUUCUUUUUCUCUUUCCACCUCCCUCUUUUUCAUCUCUAAUAUAUCACUGGAUAUCUUUUUUACAUUGUCAUCACACGCUUCUCUUUCUCCCUUCCAUGGCUUUAUCAUCGUUGUUAAGCUACAUAUUUCUUCUCAUAUUUUCACAUUGUCCUCUUCAAUUUUCAACAUUCAUUUAUUUAUGUGUACUACGCUGAGAUCCUCUUCCUUGAAGCCCUCAAAAAUAUUUGGGUUCUUACCAGCCGCCAUUUUCCCUGUUAAUAUUACCGAUCGCCAGUGUUUACCUUGUAUCACUCGUCUCAUUUCUUUCUUUCAGCCACUCCUCUAAUAACAGUUCCCCAUCCCUCUGUGCCCACACCUCGCACAAGAUCCUAUAAUGGAGACAGGACUCAAAGUUUGGCUCCCCUGCACAAUCAAACCCAGUUGGUGAAAUGAAGAAAUCUGCCCUACCAAACCAAAGAUUUUGGAAGAACUUGAAGGGCGAAUAUGGGAAGUUAUGUCAUGCAUCCUACAAGAAUUUCUGCUGACCUGUCUUGGGUAGAUAUUCAAGUAUGGCGGUGUUGCGCGCUGUAUGGGCUGGGCAUUCAGGACCUCCGUUCCUCAUGCAGUUCCGGAAACAACUCUUUCCUACGGCGCACUCUUCGGUUGGGACUCGGCUGAUGAAU